UGUGUUAUGUGUGUGUGUGUGUGUGUGUGUGUGUGUGUGUGUGUUUGUGCCGUACACACACACACACACACACACACACACACACACACACACACAGAUCUUUGUGAUCAGUGUUCGACACGUUAACGUCUUUGUUCAGACGAAGUCGACAAAUUCUCUCCACCU